UUCUGGCUCAGGAUGAACGCUGGCGGCGUGCUUAACACAUGCAAGUCGAACGGAGUUACAUGAAACCUAGUGAUUGUAAACUUAGUGGCGGACGGGUGAGUAACGCGUGGGUAACCUGCCGUAUGCCGGGGGACAACAGUUGGAAACGACUGCUAAUACCGCAUAAGCGCACAGGAUCGCAUGAUCCAGUGUGAAAAACUCCGGUGGCAUACGAUGGACCCGCGUCUGAUUAGGCAGUUGGUGAGGUAACGGCCCACCAAACCUACGAUCAGUAGCCGGCCUGAGAGGGUGAACGGCCACAUUGGGACUGAGACACGGCCCAAACUCCUACGGGAGGCAGCAGUGGGGAAUAUUGCACAAUGGGGGAAACCCUGAUGCCAGCGACGCCGCGUGAGUGAAGAAGUAUUUCGGUAUGUAAAGCUCUAUCAGCAGGAAAGAAAAUGACGGUACCUGACUAAGAAGCCCCGGCUAACUACGUGCCAGCCGCGGC
rnacentral:rRNA from 1 species